CGAACGGGUGAGUAACACGUGAGUAACCUGCCCCGAAGACUGGGAUAACGACCGGAAACGGUCGCUAAUACCGGAUACCCCAUUGGAUCGCAUGGUCCGAUGAGGAAAUGAAUUUCGCUUCGGGAGGGGCUCGCGGGCUAUCAGCUUGUUGGUGGGGUAAUGGCCCACCAAGGCUGCAACGGCUAGCUGGUCUGAGAGGACGACCAGCCACACUGGGACUGAGACACGGCCCAG
rnacentral:rRNA from 1 species